rnacentral:misc_RNA from 1 species
UAGAGAACCGAAUAUAGGGAGACUCUCAGAGGGCGUCGCGCAGACUCUGCAUCUUACUGGGUACGCUGUUGUGCCCCUUUAGCGCACACACCGAAAGAAGCCGUCCGUAGCGAAGCGCAGCGCAUGCGUGGCGCCACUUGACAGAGCAGACGCGGCCGACAUCCUACGCGGGGAAAGCACAGCUGGACUUAUGCGACGCACGCGGCGGUCGGUCGAGGCCGGACUGUCGGCAGCCGCGCGCACCUUGACGCAGCCGCGAAUGGCGGGAAAGGCGGGCGCGCAGUCAGACAUUACCGGCGCUGCGCGCUGUUGCUCGACAACGGCCGCGAAUGCAGCGGCUGGCGGUGCCGCGGCGCCAUCGACGGCCACGCGCCCCGUGCGUCAACUUCGUCUGGCGGUCGUGCGUCCGGACAUCCUUGAUGAUUGGGUCCCAGAGCUGAACGACGUCGUUGCACAUCAGAUAUCGUGCGACGAGGCCACGACACUGGUGUGGUGGAGGUGCUCUUGUUGUCAACAGCGGUACCAGUGCACUGUACAAACCCGCGUGGCUCGCGGGCGGACAGCGUGCCCGCAUUGUGGCGGCGGCAUCAGCGCAGCUGGCGACGCCUCUGCCAGCAACUCGGCAGCAGUUUCGGUAACCCACAAACCGCAAGGUGUGGCAGCGCCUCGAGUGGAGGUCGGAGAGACGCUUGACAAGACACAUCCUGAUCUCGCUGCCCGCUGGGAUGUCGCCCGCAACGGUGCGCUGCUGCCCUCUCAUGUGACGGCGUCAAGCACACGGCAAGUGUGGUGGCUUCCUGCCACGAACACGGCAUCGCUGUCUUCUGCUGCACAGCGAAGCUUUCUCCGCCCGGUAUUUGCGUUCGUGCACGACUCCGCGAGCCCUGAGGAGCAGGCAGCCGCGACGGCGGCGAUGGAAUGGCGGCUACUCCACGAAAUACGUCGUGUCGCGCAUAUUGAAGAUGCAGAGAAGGCGGGUGUCAUCCCGGUGACAGUGCGCAGCGACAAGUUCGGAGCAACACACGCUGCUGCAUGGCUGGCCGGCUCUGGCGACGCGGCAGUCGCCGCCUCUCGACCGUCUGUGGCCACCACGGCGGCCGCAGACGUGCGCGUGGUUGCGCGUAUGUGGAAGGACCGCAUGUCGGGACUGGCAACGCCGGAAAAUGCGGAAGACAGCAGCUUUCCGCAAAGUUCGGCAUCGCGCCUCGGCGGCGUCUUUCCACGCGAACUGUUUGCGCAUUCGCCGACUACAGCGCGCAGGGCUGCAAUGUCAGCCGAGGCGGCGGCCGCGUCAACAGUGCGGGUGGCCUUGCUGGGUCAGUAUUUCGAGUUUGUGCGCCGCCAGCGGAGAGGCGGCGGCAGCAGCAAAGAGCGAACGAGAUUGACGCCUGUACUGGCAAGCCUCGCACAGUCGAUUUCCAUUGCUGCCGCUGCUGCAUCGACUGCGGCCGAGGGCACGUCCCAGUCAUGGACCGACUUUUUUGCGUUGACGAGAGACUCCGCGCUGCCGAAGGGGUAUAUCGACCCGAACGCGGCCCUUUACUUCCCGGACGCCGCGGAAGUGGCGGCAUCCGGUGCGGAGGUGACAGCGGUAUCAGAGGCGACGAAGGCAGACUCGCUGCGGCUGACGGCACCCCAGAUCAGCGACACUGUUCUUACCAUGUACCCUCGCCGUCCUCCGUCGCCUCGUCUGCGUGAGGACGACGUGAUGCAGGCAACGCCGCCGAUGAUGGACGCCAGAGCCGAGAACGGUUCCAGCGACAUCUCCGCGAUUCACCAGGUCAAGCGCCACCAACUGAGGCAUCACGUUCACAUGCCGUUUGGGCACACCACCACGGUGGCGGAGGAAAAUGCGGCGAAGCUGGCAGCCGAGUACGACGUCGAUGAUGAUGAUAGCGGCAGCGGCAUGGACAGCAGACGUGCCCGCACGACAGACAACGCGGCCUCGUUCGCCACAGAGCUGCGUGGGGCGAGCAGGCGCAGCGGCGAAGCUGCAACGGCGGCCUCCCUCAUCGGCUCUGCUAUUGCUGCCCUCGGUGAGGCCUUCUCCGUGGGAGAGGCGGACAGCAGCAGCCGACUCUACCAUCGUGAAGCGCAUCGUACGGCGGCGCUGAGUGAUGAGUUAAUGGCGUCGAGCGGCGAUUCUGCACGGCGCACUGGUACACGUCCUCGCCGCUUUCGCCUCUCGCUACCUCACGAGGCGCCACAGACGAGGCAGCGGAACGUGGCGGUCGAGUUGAUCGCCGCAGACGGCAGCAGUGCUGUGCGGCCGGCACACUUUGAAGCGCCGCACACGCCGCGCAAGGUGGCGCGACCACGUCGAGCCACCAAAGAGGCCUCAAGUGCGGCGGCCCAAUGAUGAGCAGGGGCUGCGUGUGUCUGUGUGCGAUGGCGCGUGUUACCCUGUCGAAGAGGAGACCACACGAAAAAGGGGGCGCGCCCACAUCCGCCCCAUCGUCGACUUACCUCACGCCUGUCUCGCGCCUCUGGCAGUGAUGCUGCUGCGGCCGCCGCCCCUUCUACACGCACUCCUUUUCCUUCCUUGUUCUUUUGGUGGUGCCCACCCCUGUCACGCACGCGGUGCAGCCGUCGGCGCAGAAGAGCAGCGUCAGAGGUGGUGGUGGUGAAGGUGGAGGCAAGUUUGGCGCGUGGUGGGUGAUGUAAGAGGCGCGGCAGAGAUGCGCGAGGAAGCGGGUAGCAGGCAGACUGCUCUGUACGACAGCACUGCCAGUCGAUAGCCCGGCGUUGCCACAGUCUGUUUUACGUCCUUGCGCAUGUGUGCAUGCUCUGUUCUGGUCGCCGCGUUCGUGUUUUGCUUGGUUUUGUCCUGUGCGUGACGCUGAUUACAGAUCUUCUUCGUGUGUGUGUGUGUGUGUGCGUGUGUGCGGGGGGUUUGGGGGGUCGGUGGGCUGCCUCCCUUCUCUUCUGGUGUCUGUCGAUUGCUCUCUUCCUAAGCGAAAAAGCCGACAAGCGCUCACUCCCGCAUCCCUGCCGCGUUACCCCCUUCCCUUCCUCCCUCCUGACUUCGUAUACCCGGCGUUCAUAGCGGUGCACGUUCACCCCGAGGGUGCGCCAUCGCGACGCGGUGUGGUCCGCUUGCCCCCGUCGCGGGAAGCGCACAGGCGCAGGGAAAUCGCCGGUUCACGAGGCGAUGCGAAAACGGAAGAGACGGAGGAGCCUUCGUCGAAUGAUGCGGCGUCUGUGUGAUGUGCCGAAUCGCAACAAAAUAUGCCUUUGUCGGUGACGCGAGUGCCCUCUCGUCUUCUCCAGGAAGUGCUCUACAACUCUUCAGCCAUCUGUACACCUAUCUGCACCCUCGCUGUGUGUGUGUGUGUGCCUCCACCUCUCCCACACUCUAAUGCAUCGCCUACCACUAG